GGAUCUCUAUCCUUCUUACCUUACCCAAUUUCCAAAGUUUUUUUUUCCCGACUUAGUUUUAGAUAUAAAUCUA
rnacentral:tRNA from 1 species